rnacentral:rRNA from 1 species
CCUACGGGUGGCAGCAGUGGGGAAUAUUGGGCAAUGGGCGCAAGCCUGACCCAGCAACGCCGCGUGAAGGAAGAAGGCUUUCGGGUUGUAAACUUCUAUUGUCAGGGACGAAGCAAGUGACGGUACCUGACGAAUAAUCCACGGCUAACUACGUGCCAGCAGCCGCUGUAAUACGUAGGUGGCAAGCGUUAUACGGAUUUACUGGGUGUAAAGGGAGUGUAGGCGGGACUGCAAGGCAGAUGUGAAAACCACGGGCUCAACCUGUGGCCUGCAUUUGAAACGGUAGUUCUUGAGUAUUGGAGAGGCAGACGGAAUUCCUAGUGUAGCGGUGAAAUGCGUAGAUAUUAGGAGGAACACCAGUGGCGAAGGCGGUCUGCUGGACAGCAACUGACGCUGAGGCGCGAAAGCGUGGGGAGCAAACAGGAUUAGAUACCCCUGUAGUC